rnacentral:tRNA from 1 species
ACAUUUGUGGUUCAGUGGUAGAAUUUUUGCCUUCCAUGCAGGAGGCCCCAGUUUGAUUCCUGGCCAAUGCC